rnacentral:tRNA from 1 species
GCUGGCAAAGUCGGAGCUCAGGCCCCGAAUCACCCAACCGCUCUCCUAAAGCCGGUCUCGCAGGUUCGAAUCCUGCCGGGAGCA